GGCAAGAGCUCAAAUUUGAAAUCUGAGGCCUUUGGCUUCUGAGUUGUAAUUUGAAGAGGAUGCUUCGGUUGUGGCCUAGGUCAAAGUUCCUUGGAACAGGAUGUCAUAGAGGGUGAGAAUCCCGUACAUGGCUGAAGGCUUACGUCUUGUGGAGCUCCUUCGAA
rnacentral:rRNA from 1 species